UUCUGGCUGUGCCCAGCUGUUCCCAGGUGCACUCCAGGUGUGCCCAGCUGUGCCCAGGUGUGUUCUGGGUGUGCCCAGCUGUGCCCAGGUGUGCCCAGCUGUGUGUGUGCAUGUGCUCUGCGUGUGCAGCACGAGAUCCGAUCACUCCUUCCGUUCUCCGUUUCGUCCUUGGGUUGAUUGUUUGAUUAUUUUCGGGUUUUAUUUUAAUUUCAAUUCCUUUUUUCGUCCUUUUUCCCCCCUUCCUCUGAUUUUGCGUUUUGUUUGUUUUUCGGGUUUUUUUUAUUGUAUCUCGAUCAUUUUUGUACAGAAGAAACGAGAGCCUUUUUUUGAAUAACAAAGAGAAAACACACACAAAAAAGGACAAAAAAAAGAAAAAAAAAAAAAAGAAAAAAAUACCAAAAAUUAAAAAGAGGAAGGAAGGUUAAAAAAAAAAAAAAAGGAAAAAAAAAAAUCAUGAUGCAAUUUCUUUGGAUUGCAAAAAAAGCAACUCUUUACAUUUAAGUGAAGUGUCUUAACAUUUUAUAUUGUUUUAAAAAAUAUAUUUACAUAUUAUAUAUAUAUAAUAUACGUAAUAUAAAUCUAUAUAUAAAUAUUUAAAGAGGGGAAAAAAAAAUCCUAAAAAAAAAAAAAAAAGAGGAAAAAAGAAGAGAAAUAGAGAAAUAAAUAAAUCACGUCCGGAAUUAUUUAGGGGCUGGAUUCCAAAUCCCUGCUUAGGUUUAGAGCUCCUCGUGUCGCGCUGAGUCCCCGCCCUCUCUCCUUGUCCCCAGGUGUCCCCAGGUGUCCCCAGGUGUCCCCUGGUGGCCUUGGGGACACCGGCCCGCGCCCCAGUGCCAGCAGCAAUAGCAGUCGCGGAUGCGUUCCCAAUUAAUUUGAUUUUUAAUUAAUUUUUUUUCUCGGUACCAAAGUGGAUUCGCUGUAGCAAAGCCGCAGUGGUGGCACGUGGCGCUGUCCCCUCCCCUGCCCCGCCCUGUCACCUUCUGUCACCUCCUUUUGUCACCUCCUGGCGCCUGAGGAGGGGGCGCGGUGGCAGCUCCCGAGCGCUGCUGGCUGGAGGUGACAAUGCCACCCCCUUGGGGACACCCAUAUGGGGGUGACAAGUGCCACCCCCUUGUGGACACCCUCAAAAAUGUCAUGGGGGGGUGACAAUGCCACCCACUCGGUGACACCCACCUCCAGGGUGACAAUGCCACCCACUUGAGGACACCCACAAAAAUGUCAUGGGGGGUUGACAAGUGCCACCCUCCAUGGGGACGCCAACAAAAAUGACACUGGAGGAGGCUGUCCUCAAUGUCCCCACUUUAGUGUCCCCAUCAUGGUGUCCCCACCUCGGUGUCCCAAAUUUGGUGUCCUCAUCUCGGUGUCCCCAAUUUGGUGUCCCCAUCUUGGUGUCCCAAAUUUGGUGACCCCAACUUGAUAUCCCAAAUUUGGUGUCCCCAUCUUGGUGUCCCCAUCUCGGUGUCCCAAAUUUGGUGUCCCCAUCUUGGUGUCCCCAUCUCGGUGUCCCAAAUUUGGUGUCCCCAUCUUGGUGUCCCAAAUUUGGUAACCCCAUCUUGAUGUCCCCAAUUUGGUGUCCCCAUCUUGGUGUCCCCAUCUCAGUGUCCCCAAUUUGGUGUCCCAAAUUUGGUGUCCCCAUCUUGGUGUCCCCAUCUCAGUGUCCCAAAUUUGGUGUCCCCAAUUUGGUGUCCCCACCAUGGUGUCCCCAGCCUGUCACCAAUUUUGGGGCUGGUCCCCUGCUUUGUCCCCAGGCCGCCCCUCUCCGCUCGUCAUAAGCCGGGAGGUGACAAUGCCAAACCAGGGGGUGACAGCGCCAGGUGAGGGGGGUGACAAGG